rnacentral:rRNA from 1 species
UCUAAUAGUACAAUUAAAAUUUAUUGGUUUUGAUUAAUUGGAUAAUUUUUUUUUAUUUAAUAUUUGGAGGUGGAAUUUAAAUAUUGAAUUUUAAUAAAACUUAUAUUGAGGUCAAUAAAUUAAUUUAAAAACUAGGAUUAGAUACCCUACUAUUAAAACUUAUUUUUAUAGCCUUAUUAUUAUUAGAUAUGUUCUUAAAAGUAAAAUAAUUUGGCGGUAUUUUAGUCUUAUUAGAGGAACCUGUUCUAUAAUUGAUGAUCCACGAUUAUAAGUACUUAAAUUUUUAAUUUACAUAUCGUUGUUAAAAAUAUCUUAAUAGAGGAUGUUUAAUAAUUUUUUAAAAACUUAAUUCAGAUCAAGGUGUAGUUUAUGUUUGAGUAGAAAUGGGUUACAUUAGUUAAAACUGAAAAUUUUAAAUUUAAUUGUUAAAUGAAUAUGGAUUUAAAAGUAAAUUUUUAUAUAUAUAAAUUUUGAUUUUAGCUCUAAAAU